UACGUAGGGUGCGAGCGUUGUCCGGAAUUAUUGGGCGUAAAGAGCUCGUAGGCGGUUUGUCGCGUCGGCCGUGAAAACUUGGGGCUUAACCCCAAGCCUGCGGUCGAUACGGGCAGACUUGAGUUCGGCAGGGGAGACUGGAAUUCCUGGUGUAGCGGUGAAAUGCGCAGAUAUCAGGAGGAACACCGGUGGCGAAGACGGGUCUCUGGGCCGAUACUGACGCUGAGGAGCGAAAGCGUGGGGAGCAAACAGG
rnacentral:rRNA from 1 species